GACUUGAGAGUUGGACUAACUCUAAUUCAUUUUCAAAAACAGAGGAAAUUUUUUUUUUUUUCAAUAGGUGUGUAGUCGUUUUAAGUGAAGGCACCGAUAGGGGAAACUGCAGAAGAGCAGCGAAACAGGCCUCCCUCGGGAGGCGGACUCGCCUGACAUGGGAGAGGAAUGGAAUACUUUACUCGCCGCAUGCUUCUCCUUCUUCUUCCUAAUCCUUCUUUUCCUUUUUCAGUUUUCAAAAAUUAAAAUCCCUCGCCGAGAUCAAAUUCAAAAAUCUGCGGCUUCCGUUUCCUUCCUUUCGUUGAAUCCCUUCCCGUCCGUCACACCUCGCUCAUUUUCUUUUUUCAGAUAAUCGGAUUACAGGUUCCCAGAAUAUAUCAUCUUCUCUCUCCGAAAGAAAUGGGGCCUUUUGUUUUGUUUCUGGGCUUCACCGUCCAUUCAGCUUUCCCAACUACGCUUGGUGCGUGAACCGUUUACUUACGAAGCAGAAAUUUGUUUCUUCGCUUUGCGUUUCUUUUGUUUCUUUCUUUAGUUGUCACUUCUGCAUCUGGGUUUUGUCUGGGUUUUAGCGAUCGAGGAAUAGAAUCCCAAGACUGCCUUAAAUAUUUUAAUGGGGUGCUUGGCAUAACAGCGGGUACUUUGAAUCUCUUUUUGCUUCUUUAUGAAACUUUUUGAAUCCUAAUGACCUGGAAGAAGCUUCUAACGUUUGAGGUUUAAACCCACUCCCUUGUUUUUGGGCUUUGAAAUGGUUCUCAUUCUCUUGGAUUUUUCGAUUCCUCGCUGCUUUUACAACGAUGCUGUCUCAACUCUUUUCGAGAUUUCGCCCUUUUUAUAGCAUCUUUCCCUGUUUAUAAAUUUGGAACUGGAGCACAAUAUCGGAAAACCCUUUAACGGAAUCUUCACCGGUUUGAGGUUCUAAUCAUCAGAAAAUGGAAUGUGCUGCAAACCCAUCCAAAUUAUCUUCAAACGUAUCCCACGUUGUCUCCAUUUUCGCCAAAGUUUGCAGCUUCAGAUCAAUUGGAGUGAAUCCAAACCUCAGCGAUAAUGGCACUACUCUGUCAGGUGAAGACAGCAGCGAUGCAACUGAAGAGACACUGUGUGAUGCCGAGAAAGUCCAACCACACCCUCCUGUUGAUUUUCCCAAGCUCUUUGACACAGUUUCUGCACUAAAAAUGGCUUAUCUUCAGUUCCAGGAAGCCCACAUUCCUUAUGACCCAGAGAAAAUCAAAGCUGCUGAUGAACUUAUUGUGAACAAACUGGAAGCACUCUGCAAGAUUAAACGUGCUUAUAAGGCGAAGCAAUUCAAAAAAGCUAACCCCUGCUCGACCUCUGCUCUACUGAUAGAGGAGAUUCAAGUUCUGGAGCGAUUGUUGGCAAAUUUGCACUCUCAAAUGAAGUCUAAAGACUCUCAGAUCCUUCUCUUGCGGCUAGAGCUGCAGAAUUUGAGUUUGCAGAAUCCAAGUCUGUUUGAGAAGUUCAGACAGAAUGAGGAGAAAGUUUGGGAUUUGAGCUUCACCUCAUUCCACAACACCUUCAGAGAAGUUUCUAAAGCCAUUCAUGAUUUCGCAAAGCCGUUGAUUAGCUUGAUGAGAGCUUCCGGUUGGGAUCUAGACUUGGCUGCAAAUAAGAUUGAAGGUUCAGUGGUGUAUUCAAAAAGAUCCCACAAGAAGUAUGCAUUUGAAGCCUAUGUUACCCGUAGAAUGUUUGGCGGCAUUUCACUGGAAUCAGAUUAUGUUGUUGAUGACAUUAUUAAGUCUCAAGACCCAAUUGAAGCUCUCACCAAAUACCCAGAUUCAAAUUUCGCAAAAUUCUGCAGAUUGAAGUAUCUACUGGUUGUUCAUCCCAAGAUGGAAGCAUCAUUUUUCAGGAAUUUGGACCAGAGGAAUUUUGUAUUAGGGGGCAAACAUCCGAGGACCCCGUUCUACCAAGCAUUUGUGAAAAUGGCUAGGUGGGUUUGGGUUCUAAGAGGAAUUGCAGCCAUCAUGAAACCCAAAGCAGAGAUAUUUGGAAUUAAAAGAGGAAGCAAAUUCUCAGAUGUUUACAUGGAGUGUGUGGAGGAGGAGAUGGAGUAUGAAGCUAGAGGUGAUGAUGAAGGGCAAGCAAGAUUCAAAGUUGAGUUUAUGGUCAUUCCGGGAUUUAGAAUUGGAGAGAAAAUGGUCCGGUCCCAGGUUUACCUAUCAAAAAAUUAAAUCCUUGAUUGCAUAUGAAAGAUUGAUCAAGCUUAUUGGGAAAGCUUCCAUGCUUCAUGAGGCAAAGUCCUUGGGGCUGCCCAGUAUUGUGUACUUGGAACAUUAAUCACCAUUCAUUUGGUGUGUCACAUGCACUUUUAAUGAUGAUGUGCUUUAUGUUCGCAUAUGUACACAUCUGCUUGUUGCAACCAACGCACCCCCCUCCCCCUCACAAAGCAUCUACUCAAGAAGAAGUUCGAGUUUCUUUUCAAUGAGGUAUUACAGAAGCCAGUCUCCACGCAAGAGUGUUAUAUAAAGAGAUAGGAAGAGAGAAGCCCGCUUGAUUGAGAAUCAAGAGGGUGUUUUUCUUUCAUGGGUAAUCACAAGUUUAAAUUAUCAGGCAUGAUGCCAAAUGCCUGGUUUUUCAAACUCAGAGACAUGAGCAGGAGUAGCAAAAACCAUAACACCUCUCACUCUCGUCCUAGUAAGAAAAAACUGCCCACCUCAGCAGCAGAAUCACACAAACUCCAGCUUUCCCAGCCAACAAACUCCUACAGAUUUUACAAUUCGCCAAUGAACCCAAAAGCCUCAGAUACCCAUUUCCCUAGUCCACCAAGAAAAUCAUUCCGUGGAAGAUCAUCCAGAAGAAAAACCAUUUGUAGUCCUCCUGCUGUUCUGUCCUCUUGUGCGUCCCAACCUGGGAAAAACUUGGUCCGGACUAAAUCCCGUCGAGCUCAAUCUUGGGACUAUAUUGUCUCCCCCUUUGACGUCCCUUCCUCAGAGUUUGACUGCCAUGAAACAUCGUAUGAAUGCGCUUCCAGUACAAUGGCUGCUUCUGAGUCAUUUGAUGGUCCAGCCACGUGUUCGAGCUUUUGCAAUUUUCAAGUCAGUUCAACUGCUGAUAUUGCCAUUGACAUGAAUAAGAAGUCUUUGAUCACAAGGAGCAAUAAAAUGGUAGACAAGUUUGAUACAAUGUCUGAGCUUGAGCUCCCUUCAAUAUUGACAAGGCCAUUAAAAUUUGAAGACAUGGCCACUGAAGCUGCCAAAUUUGGCAGGAUUUCUUCCAAGUUGGAGGAUAUGGAUGCUCAUGGGUCUAUCUCUCUAAAAUUUGUCAAGGAAGAAAGCAUCAAGAAUCGAAAAGAACCAAGGACCAGUUCUCUAGUCCGGAAGUGUGCAACAAACAACUCCACAGGUGUAAAGCUUCGAGGGAAUCCUCCGAAAAUAUCGAGCAGGAAGAUUCAGGCCUCUGGCCGAAGGAGUGUAUCGCCUGGCAGGAACUUGAAAUCCAAGGCGAGGAACCUUUCAAAGAGCUUUGCAAUUGUGAAGUCCUCAUUUGAUCCUCAAAGUGACUUCAGGGAUUCAAUGGUGGAGAUGAUUGUGGAGAACAAUAUCUGGGCAUCAAAGGAUUUGGAAGAGCUUCUAGUAUGUUACCUUUCGUUGAAUUCAGAUAAGUACCACGACCUUAUCAUCAGAGCAUUUGAGCAAAUCUGCUUUGAUAUGACUGAUCUCCACAUGUAAAAUUCUUCUAAUUAUGCUAAUGAUCCUAUAAACUGACUAGGGACUUUAGAAACGUGGCCUUUACGUUAUUCAUAUUCUUGGACUUGCAGUCUAAAUCUUCGUAUUGAAAUUUUCGAUCUGUUUUCUUCUCUACAAACCUAAACAAUUAUGAGGCCGGAUGCAUUAAAGGUAAAAAUGGCUACAAAAUUAUACAUGGCCCCCA